rnacentral:tRNA from 1 species
GCCGGCGUAGCUCAAUUGGCAGAGUAGCGGUCUCCAAAACCGAAGGCUGCGGGUUCGAAUCCUGUCGCCGGCG